CCAAAGGGUUUGGAAAAGUUUUGGAAUUCCAUGGAAUUCCAAACAUUUCCAUACAAGAGUCUAAAAGUGUUUUUGGAAGUUUUUGGAAUCUUUUGGAAUUUGAAUAACAAAUUUGGACUUAGACAUUUUGAGGUUUGGAAAGUUGUGGAAUUCUAUGGAAAAGCUGAUAAAAUGAGAAACUUAGACAUUUUCUGCUCUGGAAAGCUGUGGAAAAUAACUUAGAAUUUUUUCUUAAACUGUCGGCUCAUAGUACAAUUACAUCGGGAUCGAUGUCGGGCUCGAUGAACAAUUAAUUUAAACUACAGCCCGCCAAAAUUCAACAAUUCGGCUGCCAUGUUGUAUUGUUGGACAGAAGGAAAGAGAGUGUCACGAAGAAGGGAACUGCUGUCAUUAUUAGCUUGGAAUGGAAUUUGUAUUUUGACAAAAGAUGCAGACAUUUUAAGACCCGCUGAAGUACUCGAUUUGCACAGCGCCGGCAUAUAAUCAUCAAGUUUGAUGAAAUGUCCUAAUAUGUAGAUGUAGAUGCUAAGUCAUUCAGUCACCUAGCUUGUGAGAAUGGAAUGCUCACAAAAAGGACAAGAACGAGAGAGCUGUAUGGAAAUUUACACAAAGGGUCAGUUAACGGAGUAAGCUGAUAUGGAGGAUAAUAUAUCAAAGGCAGCAUAGGCGUCCAAACUCCUGUUCAAGGUGCUUUUAAUCAGAAGCUUAAGAGACAAAAGACGAGCCAUUGACAAGGCAAAACUGAAUGUUUUAUAUGAAAUUGAGCAAGAAAAGUUUGAAGUGUCUUUGGGAAUGAUCAACAUCAAACUUGCUGAGCUUUUGAAGCCGUCGUACCAAAAGUGAAUCCAUUCGUGACACCAAUUAUCUGACCACCCUCUAGCAGAACCAGUGAGGAAGUGAUUCUAGCCAAUACUUCAGAAGUUUAGGACCUUCAAUAAUUAGGAUCUUGGGGCAUG